rnacentral:lncRNA from 1 species
UCGCCUUUUUCAAUCCUCACCGUUCCAUCAAUUAUCAGCGGCCGACGCCAGCACUCGACUCCUUCCGCACGCGUUUCCUUCAUGAACCCGCUUCUAGAAACGUGGACCUGCUCCCAGAAACAUCGGGGUUAUGGUCUCGCUCCGGCAUCACGCCUUUCUUUAUUCGUCGCUACCCGUCUUCCAGGCUCCUCCCGCGGCGCGCCUGAGUUUCGCCCUCGCAGCGCACCCCGCACGUACUUCCUCCUCAUCUUCGGACCCGGCGGCAUGCGCUCCUUCAGUUGCGCUGCCAUAGGUACGCGGCGGCGUGGAAAUACUGUGCUGCACCACGCGCCAUGCGCGAGCUCCUCCUUCAACCAGGGCGGCGCAUGGAAAAGGAUGUGGCCACAGUCGAGGCCGCAGUCGCGGUACCGGGGCGGCAACUGGACGUGCGGGUGGCCACGCUCGUCAGGAUGCUCAUUUCCAAGGGCAGGGCCGCGAUGCUUGCCGAGGCCCUGGACGAGUUCGACGCCAUCUGCAUCCGCCUGCUGCCACUGCGUGUGCCCUUAUAUUAGUUUGUGUUUGCUACAAAUAGUUCCUAGUGUCUUGUUCGUGUAUUCUCUCCUGCGAAUCGUGCUGACUACAGCUACAGAAAGGCACUUUUCCCAAUCCAGAGUUUCAAUUUUUGACUAUCUUCUGAAAGCAAUUUUCCCGUUUCGCCUGAUGUAGACUAAUUGCUGAAUAUGUUACCGACGAUCAUUAGGCUUAAUAAUAUUGAUUAAUUAAUUUUAAGCUUUUCCGUAAAACAUCAUAUCUAGAAAAAAUGAAUCUUCUCCACGAAGCAACAUAUCUGAAAAAUGAAAUAAUAAAUUAAGUUGUCAUGUGAUCUGAUAUUAUAUCUUUAAUUAUCUUAUACUACUAAAUCUUUGUGCAGGAAGAUACUCGGAGCGGUGCCAAAUUCAUCACACAUCAAUGAGAUGGACUCAGACUGAUUCUCUCCUCAUGCUCUUCCAUCUCAGAUGAGAGCUCCCACCACUUUGUGUAAUGAGCGUCUGUUUUUUUCUGUCUCUGUAUGCUCCUACAAGCAAAGGGUCAAAUUUCCAGCAAUAUUUUGGCAUUACAAUAGGUGGGUCAUUGUGACAAUUAUGCAUGAAGGGAAUUUAGGCCCUGUUCUAAUCUCGCGAGAUAAACUUUAGUAGCUUUUUUUAGCUACUUUUAGCCAUUUGUAAUCUAAACAAGAGAGCUAAUGGUGAUAAUUAAAGUUAAACUUUAGCACUUCAAUUCAUAUAGUUAAAGUUUAGCAGGAAGCUAAAGUUUAUCCCGUGAGAUUGAAACGGGGCCUUAUUUAUUCUACUUAUAGCAGAUCGAAUUGAGAGGAAACUACAAUUUUGGUAACAUUUCUGGAUAUGGCCAGACCUAAAGUUUGACAAGCCUGAGUAGAAAUAGAUAAGACCCUUAGUUGUUUUUAUUAGAUUUAUACGUUGUUGUUCCUAUUUAUAUUUUCGUAAUUACACUACAAUAGCAAAGGUGGACUAU